UCUCACAACCUCUCACUCUAUAAUCUCUUCGGUUUUCCCUCAAUUGUCCUUCUCCUUCAAUCUUUGUAUCGGUACUCAGCGAGAAUAUAAACAUAAAGACUGAUGUUAUUUUCAUCAACCUCUUGCCACUUUUUCUUCACUCAUUUCACUCAUUUGCCACUGCGACUUUCUCUUCUUCGUUGCCAUCGACCUCUUACAUAAAGACUGAUGAUGUUGAAUUGUGAUUUGGGCUGCUUCCCUCUCGACGAUGAAGUUUAUCCCAUUGUCUCACUGGCCGACCUUGACUCCAUAUUUAAUAAUGUAAGAUAAAAGGUAUUUUUAAGGCUGAUUUUCUAGAUGCUAGAUGGACAAGUGACUGGCAUAAAUAUGACUUUGAUUCAUUAGUUGGUUGUGGAAUCACGAAAUUGUGAGGCCGUAUUUAAUUUGAUGGUUGGCUCUAAAUUUGAUUGUAUAAUUUGUGUUCUUUAUUCCUUAUAGGCAUG
rnacentral:lncRNA from 1 species